rnacentral:rRNA from 1 species
GAGUUUGAUCGUGACUCAGAGUGAACGCUGGCGGUAGGCCUAACACAUGCAAGUCGAACGGCAGCACAGAGGAGCUUGCUCCUUGGGUGGCGAGUGGCGGACGGGUGAGGAAUACAUCGGAAUCUACUCUGUCGUGGGGGAUAACGUAGGGAAACUUACGCUAAUACCGCAUACGACCUACGGGUGAAAGCAGGGGAUCUUCGGACCUUGCGCGAUUGAAUGAGCCGAUGUCGGAUUAGCUAGUUGGCGGGGUAAAGGCCCACCAAGGCGACGAUCCGUAGCUGGUCUGAGAGGAUGAUCAGCCACACUGGAACUGAGACACGGUCCAGACUCCUACGGGAGGCAGCAGUGGGGAAUAUUGGACAAUGGGCGCAAGCCUGAUCCAGCCAUACCGCGUGGUGAAAAA